rnacentral:rRNA from 1 species
CAGUUCGUACUGUGAAGCAUCCUGUUAAGUCAGGCAACGAGCGAGACCCACGUCCACAGUUGCCAGCAUACCCCUCCGGGGUGAUGGGUACACUGUGGAGACCGCGCUGCUAAAGCGGAGGAAGGAGUGGGCAACGGUAGGUCAGUAUGCCCCGAAUCUCCCGGGCUACACGCGGGCUACAAUGGUUGGUACAAUGGGCAUCUACCCCGAAAGGGGAAGGAAAUCUCUUAAAGCCAAUCGUAGUUCGGAUUGAGGGCUGCAACUCGCCCUCAUGAAGCUGGAAUCCGUAGUAAUCGCGUUUCAACAGAACGCGGUGAAUACGUCCCUGCUCCUU